CGUGCUUAACACAUGCAAGUCGAACGCUGAAGCUCAGCUUUUGUUGGGUGGAUGAGUGGCGAACGGGUGAGUAACACGUGAGUAACCUGCCCUCUUCUUUGGGAUAACGCCCGGAAACGGGUGCUAAUACUGGAUAUUCACUGAUCUUCGCAUGGGGGUUGGUGGAAAGGUUUGUUCUGGUGGGGGAUGGGCUCGCGGCCUAUCAGCUUGUUGGUGGGGUGAUGGCCUACCAAGGCUUUGACGGGUAGCCGGCCUGAGAGGGUGACCGGUCACAUUGGGACUGAGAUACGGCCCAGACUCCUACGGGAGGCAGCAGUGGGGAAUAUUGCACAAUGGGCGCAAGCCUGAUGCAGCGACGCCGCGUGAGGGAUGGAGGCCUUCGGGUUGUAAACCUCUUUCGCUCAUGGUCAAGCCGCAACUGUGGGUUGUGGUGAGGGUAGUGGGUAAAGAAGC
rnacentral:rRNA from 1 species